CAAAACAGAGAAAAGAAUGCACAUGGUGGACCAGGUCAGCACAAGACCCUAGGGACACAAAGUUUAUUAACAGGCACUCGCGUUCCUCACUCAUUACACCAAGAGAAGCCAGUAAGACAAAAGAGCUGAUGCAAACUCCUGCCACUACUGGAAAAGCAGCUCGAAAGACAAGCCUUGAUGACUAAGUGGAAGGUGUGUCAACUAGCUGGUCUGUUAAGUGAGUUCCAAGUGGAGCUUUUCCUAUAAUGUAUGUGACCUUCUCUCCAUACCCCUGGCUGGAUGGACAACAUUAACGUAUCAAUGGAGAGUGUUUUCAAACCUGUGAAAGAGGGUGUCAAGGCUUUGGCAAACUUGUAAGCAAAGGCUGGAGUAUUGUUUUGUUUGACGUCUAGCAAGUUGAGUAGAGAAAUAUUAUUCAUGCCAGGACAAGAAAUGGAAGCCAGCCCCAAAUCCAAGGGAAGGAGGAUUCUUCCCCAUUCAAAGGCUGAGACCCAGAAGUUUGGGG